rnacentral:lncRNA from 1 species
GGCGAGUUCUGUUAAGGGCAAAAGCUGAGUAUUCGAACUGCGGCCCCGGGGUUCCGGAAGGGACUUCUGGGGGAAGCGGGAGGGUGGAAACACGACAGGUUCGCGAAUUACACAUCAAGGUACAAGACGAGGGGCCUUCAUGUGUGCCUUCUGCAUAUGGAUGAGCCACAGGGUCACGCUGUCCCUCUGAAGAGACAGUUGCUGAAGGCAGAACCAGGGGACUCAAGUAUCUUGCAAAGGCUUUAUUUGUGAAAAUUUGAAACUUACAUCCCACAAGAAUUCAAGAUUAUCACCACAAGAAGAAGAAAGAGAUAAUACAAAAAUAUAUAUCACAGCAUAGGAACCAG